rnacentral:lncRNA from 1 species
CAGGGCCGAAGGGGUAGAGGAAGACCUAGGAAAACUUUGGAAGAGACCCUAAGAAAAGACUUAGAGUACUUGGAUCUAACGGAGGACAUGACACAUGACAGAACACAAUGGUGUUCUAAGAUUCAUAUAGCCGAUCCCACUCAGUGACUUGGAUUUUCCAAGUCUCCAACCGAGAAGUUUUCCUUACUCGGGAAAUUAAGGGAACACUACCUCAACCUACAUGCUCCACUCACAAAGCUUCAA